UUGGGGUUUUAGCAAAGUUUUUGAGAAAUUGUUUUGAUGAAAAGGAUAUGAGAUUUUGGUCCUAAUACAAUUGACAAAUAUAAUAUUCUGACCCAUGUUCUCUCACUCUCUCUCUCUCUCUCUCGUUUUUGUCUGUAUCGUCUUUUUUUCGGAUAUGAAGAACAUAUCUGAAUCAAUUUUUGUCUGUUCGGAUGUUCCUCUUGAAGGUCUUCUUUAUUUCCCCUGAAACGAUUAAAAUCCAUACAGUGUCCGAUGAGAUUGAAGUUGGUCAUAAUCUCCGGAAUUAUAAAGUGACGGAGGUUUUAUAUGUCGAUCCUCAUGAACAGAUUUCCUGAAAUUGGUUUCCUUAAUCGUCUAUAGUGUCAGGUUUUGGACCUGAAUAUCAAUGAAAGAGCUAAUUUCAAAGACAACAUGGUAAUGAAAACGCAUCAUCUACGGGACUUGUUUCUACACACCAAUUCACAACAGUUUAAGAACUAUGUUUAUAGAUAUAGAAACCCUUGCUAUAUAUUGUCUGAUACGUAUUUAAAUUUCUCACGUCUUGAACUUGCGAUUUUGUUCUAUGUCAAAUUAAGUAGUAAUUCACAACAGUUUAAGCGGUAUGUUUAUAGAUAAAAUCCACGUCUUAAAAUUACACUUUGAUAAUGAAGUAGUUUCAACUUAAUAAUUAGUUUUCAAUCUGGCUUAAAAAUAAGCUGAAAAAUAAAAAGUUUUUGUCGCAAGAGUUACGAUAAUAACUAACAAAAAAUUAUUCAACCCAGUAUCUUCAGUUAACCUCCUUCCAAAUUAGCCAUCUACAAAAAGUAUAAAUACUUAUUUCACCAUGAACCUCCAUGAGCCAAUGGGAAGGUGGUUGACAUAACGGUUCACCAAGUCUUUUUUCACGGACCCGUGUAUUUUCAUUCCGUGAAGGUAUAUUUUAUAGUGAGAGAAGAGAAACUUAUGAAAAGAAUACAUUAUUUGAAAGUGAUACUCACAGUCUAGUCAGCCAAAAUGAGUUCAAGGGCUUAGCAUGUGGUAGUUGUAUAUUGGCACGAAGGACUUUGACCUCUUGUAUGGACGGAUGUCGCGGAGAAAAGCAAAAGAAACCGGCGUUAUUUUAGUUAUAUGGUGGGAUGGCUUGACACAACUCAUGUGAUGUUCAGAAGAGGAGUUUCAGAAUUUGGAGAACUAAGAAAAUGAUUUAGCACAACUUAUUCUUUAAAGGUAUGUUUACUUUAGCAUUGUUACUUUUGUUUUUUUUGUGUAAUUGUUACUUGCCUUUUGAUUUUGGUAUAAGGGAUUGAUUUACUGUAUAGUUUCACAGAUCUCAAUCCCAUAUACCAAAAUUUGUUUCUUUUUUCAUCAACCAAAAUCUUUUUGAAGGUAAGUUUACUUAAUACUAGGUGCUUCCCCACGCAACG